UACGAAGGGGGCUAGCGUUGCUCGGAAUCACUGGGCGUAAAGCGCACGUAGGCGGAUUGUUAAGUCAGGGGUGAAAUCCUGGAGCUCAACUCCAGAACUGCCUUUGAUACUGGCGAUCUCGAGUCCGGGAGAGGUGAGUGGAACUGCGAGUGUAGAGGUGAAAUUCGUAGAUAUUCGCAAGAACACCAGUGGCGAAGGCGGCUCACUGGCCCGAUACUGACGCUGAGGUGCGAAAGCGUGGGGAGCAA
rnacentral:rRNA from 1 species